rnacentral:misc_RNA from 1 species
GGCACUUUCACUCUUCCAAGCUUGUGGCUCAUGUAUUGCAGUCUAUAAGUAGGUGACUGACAAUGCUCAUAGUCAUAGAAAAUUGACAUAAAGAGAACUUUCAGGGAUGUAUCUCUGGGCAGUGGUACCAGUAGCCAGUAGCCAGUAGCCAGAAAGGAAAGGUGCAUAAAGGAAAAUCCAUGGCCUCAUGGUGUUUAAUCUUAAGAGGUAAAUCCAAAACCAAAUCAGUAUGUAAUCCAGGGUCCAAAGUCCAAACACAAGAAGUUCAGUUACCUUUCCUGUUUUCAAACAUCUUCCUAAAAGUGCCCUAACCACAGCCACGUGACCAGCAAUUGACAAAGACAGCUUUGUAUUAAGUCAUCAUGUAAUAAAAGUAUGAACUGCCUGGCCAGUAGUCAGCAACCAAAAGGCUCUUAACUUGAUGGUGGUACCUUCCAUCCUAUUCACUACCUCGGCUUGAGCCCAAGAUCUAAAGCCUUAUUUCCAGUAUGACAAGCAGUUCUGACAACUUUAAAAGGUCAUGCUGCAUAACUAUUUCAAACAAAUGUGUGGAUGUUUAGCCAUCUAUGGAUCAUCAUCAUACGGAACAUCUGGGGCACAUGAUGACGGAAGAAUCAAGAUAGGCCUUCCAUUAUGUUGGAAUUCAGAAAGCAUGGAAGCAUAAGUUUGUUGACAGUCCCAUGUAUUCCCAGUCAAGUCCAACUGCUGAAGGUUACCUUUUGCAGCCUUUAGAGCAGAGCAUAUUAUGGUUAAGGAUUCUGCAGGCAUAAGAUUAUAAGAUGCAUUAACUACAAC